rnacentral:rRNA from 1 species
UACGUAGGGCGCAAGCGUUGUCCGGAAUUAUUGGGCGUAAAGAGCUCGUAGGCGGUUUGUCGCGUCUGCUGUGAAAACCUAAGGCUCAACCUUGGGCUUGCAGUGGGUACGGGCAGACUAGAGUGCGGUAGGGGUGACUGGAAUUCCUGGUGUAGCGGUGAAAUGCGCAGAUAUCGGGAAGAACACCCGUGGCGAAGGCGGCUCUCUGGGACGGUACUGACGCGUGAGACGCGAAAGCGUGGGGAGCGAACAGG